AUAGGAGGAACCCACCCCGGUGUUGUUGGGCAGCUUGUAUGGCUGUCCUCCAACCUCAUUGACGUAGAAGCCGAUUGGGAAAAUGAGGGCGGCCAUACAGAAGAGGACAACUGAGGAGGGAGGAAGCGGCGAGACACCUACGUCCUGUGAAGGCGAUCCAGCGUGCAUAUCGGACAACCUCACGACGCCAGUGGGACAUGACCAGCAGACAACAAGUGACGGUCAGCGAGAGGAUGCCCAGGAUGAUGAAGAAAAGGGUCGUGACCCACUCCGGGGGCAUGUGAGGGGGAAUGCACGUCCGAUCUCGGCCGUGAAUGGUCUGGCACUGUCGGACCAGACCGACAGUCAGAGAGCCUGGAUGGGGAAAAACAAGUGUUACCAUUGAUAACUUACUAAUCAUUUGAUAACAUUGAGUUUACUUUUUCUCUUCUGUGUACAUUGAGCACCUUUAGCCAAAAUAAAUGAGUCACAUGGCUUGAAUCCUCCA